CCUACGGGUGGCAGCAGUGAGGAAUAUUGCACAAUGGGGGAAACCCUGAUGCAGCGACGCCGCGUGAGUGAAGAAGUAUCUCGGUAUGUAAAGCUCUGUUGGUCGUGACGAAAGAUAGAGGUAGUAACUGGCCUUUAUUUGACGGUAAUUACUUAGAAAGUCACGGCUAACUACGUGCCAGCCGCCGCGGUAAUACGUAGGUGGCAAGCGUUGUACGGAUUUUUUGGGCGUAAAGCGAGUGCAGGCGGUUCAAUAAGUCUGAUGUGAAAGCCUGCGGCUCAACCGGAGAAUUGCAUCAGAAACUGUUGAACUUGAGUGCAGAAGAGGAGAGUGGAACUCCAUGUGUAGCGGUGGAAUGCGUAGAUAUAUGGAAGAACACCAGUGGCGAAGGCGGCUCUCUGGUCUGCAACUGACGCUGAGGCUCGAAAGCAUGGGUAGCGAACAGGAUUAGAUACCCUUGUAGUC
rnacentral:rRNA from 1 species